UGUUGUCUCUCCCACUUUACAGGUAGAGAGGCUGAGGUUCAGAGAGAUUAGGUAACUCAACUAAGGUCAAAAAGUUGGUCAGGGAGCUGGGCCUUUAUAUAAAACACCAAAAUGAGCCCUUGUGUAGAACCCUUGAGAGAGAUUUUAAUCUAAUGGCUGCAAUUUUAAAUUGUGUUCAGUUGUGGUAUGUAGUUUUUCAAGGAAGAUGACCCACAGCCUUUCUUGCUUUCUGGCUUUGGAAAAGGUAGAGAUGACCACUUAAACAUUCAAGGAAAAUAAUCCCUGACUUUGAAAUCAGAAGAUCAUUCAGAUAAUAUACUUACUUAUAAUCAUCCUCUCUAAUGUCUGACUAAAGCAAGAGUAAAAGAUUGACUGAACAGCAACAAAUACUUUAACAGUUAAAAAUAAAAUUGAUUGGUCUGUUGGAAACACAAAGCACUUUUAGCCCCAUUGGUUUUCUACCUGAAACCAGAGUGAAGUGACCUGAAGGAUCUCAUAAGAUAUAUAAGACCAGCAACUAUAGGAAAGAUGAUACUUUUCUUGAAGUCAUAUAUUGUCUAAGUUGAAGUUACAUGACUUAGAAGGUCAGAUGUGCCAUCUUUUCCCUUAAUGCCCCAGAGAUUCUCUUCACCAAGAAAAUGACUACAUACUUAUUUCAUUUAAAACAGACUCAGCCUAGUGAUGGUUUUCCUUCUUCUAUAAAAAAGCAGGCUAUUCAUGAAGAUAAGGACCCUUUUGGCUUUGCAACACGUUUUCAACAUUUUACUCAUGGACAUGAGAUGGUAAAACAAGAUGAAAAUGAUUCUUUUAUUGGGCAUUCAAUUAAAAAAUGUCAUGACUUUGCCAUUAGUUUGUAUAAAUCCUAGAAAUGAGUUUCAACGAGAGUGUGUUAUUAUGUUGGGAAAGAGACGGAAGUGUAUAACCUUGGGCAGAUCGUUUAACUUCUCUCUGCUUUACAGUUACAAGCGGUAAUACAAAGAGACAGGAUUAUAUGAUCUCCAAGGUCCCAUCCAGCCCAUUUAACACGGCAUUGUGGCUCUGGAGACCUGGAAGCACUGCUAACUGUUCUCUCGAUUUUCUGACGCUCGGCCACAUCAACCUGUCAUACUAGUUGUGAGGAGAAGUCAAGGACAGUGACACAGCCAGCCAGUCUGAGGCAUUUUCCAUCAUCCUGAAGGAGUUGCCCUAUCCUGCUUUUCACUGGAGGGGGCAUGGAUGGGGAUCCUGGAUGACAAAGCAGUCACCUACUUGAACACUGCUAAUUAUGAAGUCAGAAAGAGGAAAGUUUGCAGAGUUUUGUAUUGGCAAUCAAACAUUCAGCCACAGGUCACAGUCUAGAACCAGACACAUCAGUGUCCUCAACUGCAAAGUAGCCAGGAAGCAGCAUCCCAUAACACAGUCCUAUGUCCACUGUUUUGGAGUUACUCAAGACCUAAGUGUUUUCUUGGAACUGUGUUUGUUACUGAGGAAGCCACAAAUUAAAUAUAAGUCUGCUCUUCAAGAGGUUACAUUCCAGUUAAGGAGAUUGCAUAUCCAUAUUUCCAGAAGUACCAAUGUGAUUGAAGCAAGGGAAAUUGCUAUGGGAUAUCUGACCAACUGGAUAUUCUGCUGGAAGAGCAGAAUGCACUUCAAAGACUAGCCAAUAAAACUCUCAUGGGCUCCUGACACACUGACCUCUGUCAGUUCCUUCAGCACACCAGGCUAAUCCCCAGUCUUGCGCCUUUGGACCAGAGGUUUUCUUUGCUCAGAAUACUGUUUCAACAGAUCUUUGCAUAGCUGGCUCUCGCUAUUUGACUAAAAUGUCAAUCCUCAGAGAGGUACUCCUUAAAUAUCCAAUCUUAAGUAGCAUCCCUUUCUCCCAGGAUCCUGUUUUUCAGAACUCUGUUUUCUUUUUAAAACACUUGUUAUCUGAAAGGAUGUCGUCUGCUUGCUUGUUUGUUCAUUUCUUUAUUGUCUAUUCCAUCUCACCCCUUCUCAGGAUGUAAGCUGUUUAAAGGCAAGGACCUUAUCUGUGUUACAUGCUGUAUUCCCAGGGCUCAGACAGAGCAUGACCUAUCGUAUGUACUAA
rnacentral:lncRNA from 1 species